rnacentral:misc_RNA from 1 species
GUCCUUGCAGGAUUGGCCGACCUUUUUCAAUCAAUGGGGUAUAAGAUGUUACAGCAUUCGCGCGUGGACGAAAUGCCGCUGGGCUUGAUAUUGCCUGCUGUACAGCUUUCCGAUAAUCAACAAACAUUGCAGGUAAGAAGUGAUCCUUCACAAAGUUCUCCACAAAUGCCAGAAGUCCAUCAUUCCCAAGUUGCGAAUACUUCUGUGGCAGCAUGGAAGCGACUUUAUCUGUAAACUGAAGAACAGGUCGGUAUAUAGAGGCUGCUAAAUAAAUUCCCUGCUCAGGUAAAAUAGUUGAUGUACCAUAACCUUCUUGGAGUACAUUGGAGCCUCUCUUACCCCAUCCUUGCCUAAUGAGGUCAACCCCUUGAUUUGAAAUGGAUACAGUAGCAUCUGUGAAACGAAAUGCAAAUGUUAGACCAUCUUCUGACCCAUCCCUCUUUUCCUUUGAAGGGGCCUUGCUUGCAAGUCUUGCUGUUUGGACAGCAGCAUCUGCGGAUGCAGCUUCUGGAGUAGCUCGCAGGAUCUCACAUAUGAGUUGUUGGCAUUCACUCUGUAAGACGGUCAAUGAAAAGCCAAUGUUAUACCCUCCAGUGGCAUGAGAUGCAUCUGAAUCAGGGUUCCAACUGAUGUCUGUAGGCAUAGACUUAGGCGUGUUCAAGUCAAUUUGUUGAGAGCACUUUGACUCGAGAAGUUCUCCAACAAUAACAUGGUUCUCAAAUAUAUGAACAACAGCAUCAAGAGUUGAAUCAAGGAGUUCCUUUGCAGCAGCCUGUGCUGUUCCUGUAGGAGCCAUGACAGGUGAAACAGGGCUGACUGCUAGUAGCACUGCGAGAUAUAUCCCAUUCUGAUGCUUCUGUUUUGAAGACUGAAAACUCUCCAAUUGCCCUUUAAGAUAGUGAAGACCUGUAAUGGCUGCUUGAGCAGCCUGGCCAAUGCGAGGUCGUGAAGCAUUUUCUGCAUGAGCUUUGAUCCUUGUUGUGAUUAUUUCAUGAAUAGUAGGUCGUAAUCUUUGGCAAAUAAUGGCGCCUGCAGCUGCAACUUUCCCAAGCAUGCAAAGACACUCAACCAUGGUCUGCAAGUACUUCACAUGCAAUGGAGCAUCAGUUUUCCUGAUUGCUUCAACAAAUUCAUCUGGUGUAGAAUCUGAAAGCCAUGUCAGAACUUGAUGAGUGAUAAUUUUUACAUCCUUCGAAGCACCAUCAAUGCCAUUGAUCCUUGAAGAGGUAGGAUUGCCAUCUGUCACAGUAUCUUCACCAUCAUCAUCAUGACCUUCUACUAGGGAGCUGCCAUCAAUAGAGCUAGUUUUGUGAGAUCCAUCCCCAGCUCCAAAUGAACCAAACUGAUUGUCACCUUUUAGUAACCUAGUUCUUCGAGAGAGAGGCUGUGAGUUGUUCAUGGACAAUGGUACAGCUACAGUGGUUGGUACUUCAUCAUCUCUUUCACUGAUACUGAAGAGAGUUGAACUGUAUUCACCCUUAUUAUAAAGAUGGGCAUGCAGAUCCUCCAAGACUUUAUAGAAGAGAACUCCUCUUAGCUUCGUCAACUCAGAUCUGACAUCUUGUAAAGCACCAACCGUUUGAAGACCCUCUCGUUCAAGCAUAAGAGCUGAUUGAACAUGCAACUGCACGGCAGCAUAGAAUUGCUUUUCAUUGAUCAGCUUUUCAAUACGAGCAGGAACCUUAGCUAUGCCUUCUAUUUGAUCUAACAAGGAGAUAAUAUGUCGCAAUGUAACAGACCGAUACCACAACUGAUGCAACUGCUUGUUACGGGCACCAAGAAGCUUCUUUGCCUCCGCCAAGUCACCUUUUAAAACCCCAAUACUUUGGGUGGAUUCACUGAAUAACCGCAAAAUCUGAGAAUAAUUUUGAAUAGCUUUAUUGAAGCCACCAUGGUAGGCAUGCACUACUUCAUCCACAACUUCCUCAAUAAUCUCACUUUGCUCCUUUAAGACUUGGACAUCACCUUCACGAUCUUUCGAUGUUAAUAUACGAACAACAUGAGGCAGUGAAUCAAAGCGAGCAGCAGCCCAGUUUUCAUCUACUCUAGCAAGUUCCUCCCUUAAGUACGAUUUGUCUUUAGGAAUGGGUAGUAGAUCAAAUUUCCCCAUCUCAAUAUACUCAACAGAGAAGGAUAUUGUUCGGAUCUAAGAAACAGUACGAGAACUAAA